CAUCCUCAUUCUUCAUCUCAAACUCUGCCCUAUAAAUACAGCUCUGAAAACAGACGUCAGACACAAAUUACUCUGCUUACUGCAUCGGGUGAGAACUUUUCACUGCACUUGUAAACAAGACAAAAUGAGUGACCCCAAAGCCCAGGGAAAAGGCCAAGAACAUGGACAUGGACAUGGAAAAGGCCAAGAACAAGGGAAAGGAAAAGGCCAAGAACAUGGACAUGGACAUGGAAAAGGCCAAGAACAAGGGAAAGGAAAAGCACCACCUCCCUAAUAAAUAAUGAAUCAUUAUUCUGUGGUCAUUUUUAAGAGAUAAAAAUGUCUUUAAUAAACUAAAAUAAAAAACAA